AACGAACGCUGGCAGCAUGCCUAACACAUGCAAGUCGAACGAGACCUUCGGGUCUAGUGGCGCACGGGUGCGUAACGCGUGGGAACCUGCCCUUAGGUUCGGAAUAACUCCCCGAAAGGGGUGCUAAUACCGGAUAAUGUCUUCGGACCAAAGAUUUAUCGCCUCUGGUUGGGCCCGCGUUGGAUUCGCUAGUUGGUAGGGUAAAAGCCUACCAAGGCGACGAUCCAAAGCUGGUCUGAGAGGGUGAUCAGCCACACUGGGACUGGGACACGGCCCAAACCCCUGGGGGGGGGGGGAAGGGGGAAAGAGGGACAGGGGGCGAAAGCCGGAUCCGGCAAGGCCGGGAAAGGGGGGAAGGCCUGAGGGUUGAAAAUCUCUUUUACCCGGGAGGUAAAGACCGUAACCGGGAAAAAAGCCCCGGCUAACCCCGUG
rnacentral:rRNA from 1 species